rnacentral:tRNA from 9 species
GACUUAAAAUUCGUUGGCUUUAUAGACCGUGAG